rnacentral:rRNA from 1 species
AUACGAAAGGUGCAAGCGUUGUUCGGAUUUACGGGGCGUAAAGAGAGUGUAGGUUGUUUAUUAAGUCGGAUGUGCAAUCCCGGGGCUCAACCUCGGAACUGCAUUCGAUACUGAUAGGCUAGAGUUUGGGAGGGGUAAGCGGAAUUCCGUGUGUAGCAGUGAAAUGCGUAGAUAUACGGAGGAACACCUGAGGCGAAGGCGGCUUACUGGACCAAUACUGACACUGAGACUCGAAAGCGUGGGUAGCAAACAGGAUUAGAUACCCCAGUAGUCC